AAGUGGUGUCCGUGUUUUCUCCACGGAAGAAUAGGAAAGCGGGUGCAAAUCCCGCACGGUCACGCCGCUGUAAUAGAGGAGCUUUCUUUCAUCAUGUCACUGGGUAUACUGGGAAGGCGAAGGAAAGUGAGGAUCCUUAAGUCAGAAGACCUGCCCUUUCUGA
rnacentral:ncRNA from 1 species